UCAUAAAGUUUCGUAGAGAAACUUAUUGGACUAUUGGAGUGACAGUGAGUUCAGUGUGUGGGGUAAUCAAGGUUGACACGGCCGUGUUGGAAACGAUGUAUUAUUGAGAACUAUCAUGGAAACAAACCUUGGGAUGCAUAAGUUCUUACCAUUUCUAUUGCUCGGUCUCUUCACCAGAACAACGUAUACAAACAAUGUUUCCAUAUCAGAGGACGUACGUCACCCUAGAGUAAGCGGCCGUAUAGUCAAGCUAUAUUCUGGCAUUAAACCAGAACCAAUCCUAUGUUCUGGUGAAGGCUUCCAAGAGGAUCCGGUUGACUGCGCCGUCUUCUACAGAUGUGUGAUAGGAGCUAACAACAAAUACACCGUUUUCAGAUAUCAAUGCGGACCGGGCACAGUAUAUGACCCUGACACAGAGAUAUGCAACCACCCUAAAAGCACAAAAAGGGUUAAUUGUGGUGGUUAUGCAGCACCACCCGCUGAACCUGUCAACGAAAAUGAAAUAGAUGGAUCACGUGCAGAAAUACCAUCUCCAAUAAAAAUAAAUCAAGUUUACCCUGAACAAGCAAUCAAAGCUGACGCUUCGACUAUCUCGACCCAAAAAACUUGGUCUUCAGCCGAUUACAAAAGUACAACAAGUGCAUCUACAACCCAUUCAUGGACAACCACGAUAAAGGAGCUUCUUAGAGCAACUAGAUCCCCAAUGCCUCGUCAGCCGACUCCAGAGAGUGGAGACCCGUGUACAUCUGACGGAUUUAUGGGUGACAGUGAAAAUUGCCGAAAAUUUUACAGAUGCGUAGGCAAUGGGCGAGGUGGUUAUAUCAGAUACGAAUUUUCUUGCAGUGAACUGACGAUUUGGGAUGAUGAGACACAAGCAUGUAAUCACGCAUGGGCAGUCAAAAAGAGAAGAUGUGGGCGAGGUAGUCCAGAUGAUGAAAAUAAAACCAUCAAAUCUGAUUUUACUAAUGCUGACAAUGAAGUGAAUUCAGAACAAACUAUUCAAUCACAAUUACAAGUAGCUUAUGGCUCUAAAGUUAAUCAAGUACAGACACAAAUAAGCAAAGGUUCCGUGAUACAGAAUCAAACACAAAUAAACUAUGGUGAACGAAUAAAAGAAAUACCUAAUAGUUCAUAUACAAAACAAAACCAAACUCAAAUAGCACAUGGUUCAGCUGUAAGUCAGACACAGACACAAAUUAAUCACGGUAAUAAAGGAUCCCAAACCCAAUUGCAAAUUGAUCAUUCCAAAGAAUCUAGUCAAAGUCAAACACAAAUACAUGAAACAAACACCGAUCAAACGACAGCUUCUUCAUAUCAUGGAGAAACACAGCGGCCAAACAAUGAGAAACCUGUCACUGGGAAUGAAAAUAAUGAAUGUACUGAAAGUGGCUUCAUGGGAGACUCGGACGAUUGUAAGAAGUUCUACAGGUGCGUUGACAAUGGAAGAGGUGGAUAUAUAAAAUACGAAUUCACUUGUGGAGAAGGGACUAUAUGGGAUCCUAAUGCAGAAGCAUGCAACCAUGAGUGGGCUGUAAAGGACUGUAAAAAUAAAUCCCCAUCACAAACACAGACUCAAACCACCACAACAACAACAACAAGAAAACCUACCACAAUAGAAACGAUUCCCGAAGAGAAUGAAGAUGUUGGGUAUGGUGGUCAAAAUCAACAACCGUCUCAAACAACAACGCACCAAGAUAAAACGUCGACAACUACUGAAAGUAGUAUAGCUACACAAGCUACUGAGGGUAACCAUAUCUCAAGUUCCACUAGUGCACCCGGUGAAAAUGUUUGUAGUUCCAGUGGAUUUAUGGGUGACACUCAAGACUGCAAUAAAUUUUACAGAUGUGUAGAUAAUGGUAAUGGUGGUUACACUCGAUAUGAGUUUACAUGUGGUGAGGGUACGGUGUGGGACUCAAAUUUGGAAGCAUGCAAUCACGCUUGGGCAGUUGAAAAGUGUGGUAAAGGAACGCCAGAUAAAAAUACUCAAGGUCCAACUACUACAACAGACAACAUAAUGCAAGGCGCAGAAAUCGAUAACGGUUAUCCAUCACAGAGUGACAAUAAUGUUGACCAACCAGACCAAAAACCAACAGAAGCUACAAUGCCGAGUACAACAAGUACAGUGACAUCACCUUCUUCAACAACAUCAUCACCGAAUAGCAAUGCUUGCACAUCGAGUGGAUUUAUGGGUGAUAAAAAUGACUGCAGAAAGUUUUAUAGAUGUGUUGAUGACGGCAAAGGUGGUUAUAUUCGUUAUGAGUUUACAUGUGGCGAGGGUACUGUUUGGGAUCAAAGUAUCGAGUCAUGUAAUCAUCCAUCUAAUAAUAACAAAUGUACAGGAAGUGAAACAGCAACCCAAGAAACUGAAAACGAAGGCACAACUCAAUCAUCAUCUACUGCGCAAAGUGACAGUGAUACAGAAGAAAAUAAUCAAAUCACUAGUACCGCAUCUACUGGAAAACCAGCAAACAAACCAGCACCUAAUAAAGACUCUUGUACUAAAGAAGGAUUUUUUGGCGACACAACGAACUGCAAAAAGUUUUAUAGAUGUGUAGGAAAUCAGCAAGGUGGUUUUACUAAAUAUGAUUUCACUUGCGGAGAAGGCACAGUAUGGGAUCCAGAAAUUGACGCCUGCAACCAUGAAAGCUCUGUUAAAAAAGAAUGCAGUGCACUAACCGAUGAUCAAACACAACAAGAACCAGGAAACAGUGAAAAUGCUGAGAGUAGUACAUCGCAGCCGAGUACAUCGGGUACAUCAGAGACUACAGAAAAGACUGAACAAAACCAAGGUCCAUCUAAUGACGCUUGUGAGUCGGAAGGAUUCUUUGCCAAUUCAGCUGAUUGUAAGAAGUUUUAUCGGUGUGUUGAUGAUGGUAAAGGAGGCUACACUAAAUACGAUUUUACUUGCGGUGACGGUACCGUAUGGGACCAACAGUCACAAACGUGCAAUCAUGAGUCAGGUGAGAAUAAAUGCUCAGUAACUUCUGAAACAAACGCUACUGAGAACCCUCCGUCAGAAUCAGGAAGCACCACACAAACUGCAGACUCCACUGAUUCAACCACAUCUACGACUAAACGCCCUAAUAAUGAACAAUCUAAUAACAAAGACCAAUGUGAAUCGGAAGGUUUUUAUGCCAAUUCAAAUGACUGUAAGAAGUUUUACCGAUGCGUAAGCAAUGAUAAGGGAGGGUACACGAAAUACGAUUUCACUUGUGGAGAAGGUACGAUCUGGGUACAAGAAAUACAAGCAUGUGAUCAUGAUAACGAUAUGUCUAAUUGUAGUUCUCAAAGUUCUGCUUCUACUACAUCCAGUUCGCAAAAUGGGCAAGAUGAACCUACCACCAAAGCCUCUACCACUACAACCCAGUCUUCUUUCGGGACGGAAAAUAAUGAAACAUCAAGUGAUUGUUCCAAUAAUUCAAGUUCCAGUUCGAAUAAUUCCCAGUCAAACGAAUGUAAAAAUGAAGGAUUUUAUCCCAAUAAAAAUGACUGUAAAAAGUUCUACCGAUGUGUUGAUAAUGGGCAAGGAGGGUACACCAAAUAUGACUUUACUUGCGGCGAAGGUACUGCUUGGGAUUCGGAUAUACAAGCUUGUAAUCAUGAAAAUCAAGUGAAAAAUUGUCAAGGUUCACAAAAAGAAAACCAAUCAGAACAAGGACCUACUGAACAAAAUCCAUCUCAAACAACAGAAGCAACCAGUACAACUAAAACAUCGACAACCGAAUCUUCAAAUGAAACCAAACCACAAAACAGUAAUGACAAAUGUGAAAAUGAAGGGUACUUUGGCGACAGCAGUGAUUGCCAAAAGUUUUACAGGUGUGUUGAUAACGGUAACGGUGGUUUAACAAAAUACGAUUUUACGUGUGGCGAAGGCACUAUUUGGGAUCAAGAUAUACAAACGUGUAAUCAUCCAGGUGAUGUCCAAAAUCCAUCAUGUAAUAAUAAUACAACUACCACAUCUACAACUACUGAAACCUCAAGUGAAACAUCGUCAACCACUACUACGGGAUCGCCAACAAGCUCUUCGUCAUCAUCCUUGUCAACAACUGAAAGCUCAUCUGACUGUUCUCAAGGUUCCACGCAAAAACCUCAAAAAUCACAAGUCAAUUGCACUAAAGCAGGAUUUUACGCUGAUCCUGAUGACUGUAAGAAAUUCUAUAGGUGUGUAGACUGGGAUAAUAAUGGUCAAAGGUUUUCGGUUUAUCAUUUCGAAUGUGGAGAGGGUACGAUAUGGGAUCCGGAAUUGGAAACAUGUAACCAUGAAGAUUCUGUAUACCCUCCUCGUGACUGUUCUGGGUCUCAAAAUCAGAAUACUGAGGAAUCUACGACAACAACAACAACUACAACUGAAAAAUCAACAACUCCGCAAUCAACGACAACUGAAGAAUCAACAACGCAACAAUCUACAACUGAAUUGUCAACUACACAAGAAACAUCAACGACUGAAGAAAGUACGACUGAGCAAACUACUACUGAAAAAUCGACAACCACAGAAAAAACUACAACCCAGCAAUCUACUACGGAACAAAGUACUACAGAGAAAUCGACUACUACUGAAAAGAGUACUACUGAACAAAGCACUACUCAGUCUAGUACCACAGAGCAAACUACUGAACAAUCGAGUACUAUGGAGCAGUCUACUACAGAAAGGACCACCACUGAUCAGACGAGUACUACAGAGCAAUCUACAACGGAACAGUCAAGUACCACACAACAAUCAACUGCCAGUGAGGAAACGACAACGGAACAAUCCACUACUGAGCAAUCUACUACGACAACUGAACAAUCUACUACGACAACUGAACAAAGUACCACUGAAGGAACGACUGAAAGUUCCACAGAACAAUCAUCAACUACGGAAGAAUCGACCACACAAGAAUCAAGUACAACUGAACAGUCAAGUACAUCUACUACAGAACAAAGCUCUGAGAGCACUACAACAGAAGAUAAUCAGGAUUCUACUACUGAAAGCAGUUCCUCAAGCUCAAAAGAUUGCCCAGAAACGGAGGAUGAUCAAUACCUUUACGUGUGCCCGACUUCAUUUAAGCGGCAUCCCAAGUAUUGUAAUAUGUUCUAUCAGUGCACUGAAGAUAAUGAUACCCAUGACCUUGACAUAGCUGUUUUCAAAUGUCCUAAUGACACAAUUUAUGAUGAAAGUAAAAAUCAAUGUGUUGAAGAAAAAAAUGCUGACAAGAAAUGUGACGGCGAGAAAGCUGAUAGGCGAAGAGUAAAACGUCUAGGUGCCAACUACAAAGAACCGAUUGUCGCAAGCAAAGAACCUCUUACUUGUCCAUCAACGGGUCACUUCCCAUUCGAGAAAGCCGAAUGUUCUCCGGCGUUUUUGAAAUGUGAUAAAACGAAAUCUGGCAAAUUGAGAGGUUAUGUAAAUCAAUGUCCCGAUGGAUACGUUUAUUGGUCAGUGAGCAGAAGAUGUGAAGCGAAGUAUAAAGUAAGAGAUUGUAAGAAGACCACUAAUGACUGGAGCGGACGAUGGGAUAUACCAAUAGAAAGAAGUAACGUUGCUACAUAAGAUAGUAAUUUUGAAAUAACAUGUAUAAAAUGACAACAACAACAAAUCAAUCUACCUUGUCUACUUGCAUUUGUGCAAUAUUCUAAUUAUCUAGUUAAGAAUCUGUAUAUAAGUAGGUAUUUACGGUACUCUCGUGCCUUAGGUGGACUAGCGAUUUAUUAAGUAUUUGCAUUCACAGCAAAGACAUUUCGAUAAAAUUGUUCGUAUUUAAGUAUCUAGUCUCGUAAAAAUUAAAGGAAACAUUUUAGACGUCAAUUAUAUUUUGCUGCCAUAAUUUUAAGUCGAGGGUUUACUUGUGGUCAAAAUAUUGUCACAUAUAACAUUAUUUUGAGCACGACUUGUGUAUAAUAGGCUAAUAAAUGACUAUUUUGUAAGUGA